rnacentral:rRNA from 1 species
GACGAACGCUGGCGGCGUGCUUAACACAUGCCAGUCGAACGCUGAAGCUCAGCUUUUGUUGGGUGGAUGAGUGGCGAACGGGUGAGUAACACGUGAGUAACCUGCCCCCUUCUUUGGGAUAACGCCCGGAAACGGGUGCUAAUACUGGAUAUUCACUGGUCUUCGCAUGGGGGUUGGUGGAAAGGGUUUUUCUGGUGGGGGAUGGGCUCGCGGCCUAUCAGCUUGUUGGUGGGGUGAUGGCCUACCAAGGCUUUGACGGGUAGCCGGCCUGAGAGGGUGACCGGGCACAGUGGGACUGAGAUACGGCCCAGACUCCUACGGGAGGCAGCAGUGGGGAAUAUUGCACAAUGGGCGCAAGCCUGAUGCAGCGACGCCGCGUGAGGGAUGGAGGCCUUCGGGUUGUGAACCUCUUUCGCUCAUGGUCAAGCCGCAACAAUGGUUGUGGUGAGGGUAGUGGGUAAAGAAGCGCCGGCUAACUACGUG